UUCAAGAAGUACUUCAGUUUUUAAAAAGCAGAUUUUAAAAACCUCUCUUUUAUUAAUUUCAUAUACCAUUUUUUGGUAACAUCUGUUGACAUCUUAGGGAAUUUAAUUUGGGAAAUAGCACUCUAGGCAAAGGAAAACCCAUUGCUUCUCGGCACCCUCUGCAAGUCUUGCAGCUCCUCAUCCAGAUCUCUAGCAUUGUGCCUGCCUGGCGUAGAGGUACCUAUCUGUGCACUCUCCAGCAACAUUAUGAAUAUUCAGAAGGAAGGACCCACAUCUUACUCAUUUUUGUGUUUUUCACCACAAUACCUAGUACAAUCUGAUACAAACAAUUAUUUGAAAUUAACCUCUAAGUUUAUAAGAUUAGCUCUUACACAUAGAAGCUGCAUAAGGCACUAAAGUUUCAUUUCCAUGCAGAGGCAGGGAAUAAAAUAAAGAUGGACAAAAGAAAAAAAUAGAAAAAAAGGAAAUGCCCAGAGUCACGGAUCUAUACAAAAUGUCUGGGGAAUACCAAGGAGGAGCAUGAAGCUGACUAAUAUAAUAGCCUUUCUGUGUCAAUGAUCAAUAUAUGGCUUUUCAUUAGUCUUACCUCUACCAACCAGACACCCUCUAUGCCUUCAUUUUUCUUCAGUAUUUGGAAAACAUUUAUUUCUUUAAUAAGUAUAUAUUGCAGAUAUGUUCUGGCUCCAGGGACCCAAAUUUGAACAAAUGACAUACUGAAAUUCGGAACUGGGCAUUGAAGAGCAAAUUCAAACCAUUUAAGAGGUUUUGGUUAAAAUUAUCACCUCCCCAUCAGACUCAUCCCAGGGAUGCAAGGAUGGUUCAACAUAUGCAAAUCAAUCAAUGUGAUAUAUCAAUAGAAUAAAAGAACAAAAAACAUAUGAUGAUUUCAAUUGAUAAUGAAAGGCAUUUUAUAAAAUUCAACAUUCUUUCAUGAUAAAUCUCUCAGGAAACUGGGUAGAGAAGGAAAAUAACUCAACACAAGAAAAACCAUAUACGACAGAACCCAGCUAAUGUCACACUGAAUAGGGAAAAACUGAAAGCCUUUCCUCUAAGAUCUGGAGCAAGACAAGGAUGCCCACUUUCACCACUGUUAUUCAACACAGUACUGGAAGUUCUAGCUAGAGCAAUCAGACAAGAGAAAGAAAUUUUUAAAAAAUGGAAAGGAAGAAGUCAAAUUAUCCUUGUUGCAGAUGAUAUGAUCUUAUAUUUGAAAAAAAACAUAAAGGCUACACCUAAAGAUGUAAAAAACUAUUAGAACUUAUAAACAAAUUUAGUAAAGUUGCAGGAUACAAAAUCAACAUACAAAAAUCAGUAGCAUUUUUAUAUGUCAACAGCAAAAAAUUGAAAAAUCAGGAAAGUAACCCCAUUACAAUAGCUACAAAUAAAAUUAAACACCUAAGAAUAAACUUAACCAAAGAAGUGAAAGACCUCUACAAUGAAAACUGUAAAACAAUGAUUCAAGCAAUUGAAGAGGACACCAAAAAAAGGGAAAUAUAUUCCAUGUUCAUGUACUGUAAGACUCAAUAUUAUUAAAAUGUCCAUACUACUCAAAGUGAUCUAUACAUCCAAUGCAAUCUCUAUCAAAAUAAUAGCAACAUUCUUUACAGAAUAGAAAACAAAAUCCUAAAACUUACAUGGAACCAGAAAAGAACCAGAAUAGCUAAAGUCAUGCUGAGCAAAAAGAACAGAACUGGAAGAAUCACAUUAUCUGAUUUCAAAUUAAACUAGAACUAUAGUAAUCAAAAAGGCAUGGUACUGGCAUAAAAACAGCCAUAUAGACCAAUGGAACAGAAUAGACAAUCCACAGAUAAAUUCAUACAUCUACAGUGAACUCAUUUUUGACAAAAGUGCCAAGAAUAUCCACUGAGAAAAAGACAGUCUCUUCAAUAAAUAGUGUGUGAAAACUGGCUCUCCAUAUGUAGAAUAAUGAAACUAGACCCCUAUCCCUCUAUCUCUCUCCAUAUACAAAAAUCAAAUCAAAAUGGAUUGAAGAUUUAAAUUUAAAACCUCAAACUAUGAAACUACUAAAAGAAAAUAUUGGGGAAACUCUCCAGGACAUUGUUAUGGGCAAAGAUUUCUUGAAUAAUACCCUAAAAGUACAAGCAACCAAAGCAAAGAUGGACAAAUGGGAUCAUAUCAAGUUAAAAAGCUUCUACAGGGUAAACAAAAUGCUCAACAAAGUCAAGAGACAACCUACAGAAUGGGGGAAAAUAUUUGUAAAUUAUCCAUUCCAACAAAAGAUUAAUAGCCAGAAUAUGUAAGGAGCUAAAAUAAUCAGAAAAUAUAUAAUCAUCUUAUUACAAAAUGGGCAAAAUAUCUAAAUAGACACUUCUCAAAAGAACACAUACAAAUGGCAAACAGGAUUAUGAAAAGAUGCUCAACAUUAUUGAUUAUCAGAAAAAUACAAAUCAGAACUACAAUAAGGUAUCAUUUCAUCCCAUCAGUUAAAAUGGCUUUUGUCCUAAAGACAAGCAAUAAUGAAUGCUGGCAAGGAUAUGGAAAAAAGGCAACACUCAUAUACUGUUGGUGGGAAUGUAAAUUAGUAUUAAAUACAAACAUUAUGGAGAACAGUAUGGAGGGUCCUUUAAAAACUGGAAGUAGAACUACCACAGGAUUCAGCACUCCCACUGCUAGGUAUGUACCCAAAAGAAAGUAAAUCCAUUUAUUGAAGAUAAAUCUGCACUACCAUUUUUACUGGGGCACUAUUCACAAUAGCCAAGAUUCGAAGCAACCUAAGUGUUCGUUAAGAGAUGAAUGGAUAAAGAAAACAUGGCACAUAUUCACAAUGGCGUACUAUUCAGCCAUAAAAAAGAAUGAGAUCCUGUCAUUUGCAACAACCUGGAUGAGACUGGAGGACAUUAAAUUAAGUGAAAUAAGCGAGGCACUGAAAGAAAAACUUUGUAUGCUUUCCCUCAUUUGUGGGAGCUAAAAAGAGGGCACAGGCAGCAACAAGGGAGAGACAUUGCCCCACCAUUCACUGAUGAACCUGCGGUGGUUCCCACACUGGCAAAGUUUCAUUAAGCACUUCAGCACACUGGUACAACUGCUGCCAACAGUUAGGCUUCAGCACACGUCUCUGCAGCAUCCAGGAGCUGACACCACCCAGCCUGAAGCUCUCACCACCACUGAAAUCCUCCAAGGAAGUGCCAUGCAUUGCCAGCAGCUGCUUUCAUGACUUGCAGACAUGUAGGCUGGAUUUGUUAGCUCCUUAUCAACUUGCAAAUGACUUUGACAAAUUUUCUUGUUUGUUUUUUUUCUUUUGAGGAAAUGUUUGGAUUGCUAUUGCAGUCUUGUUUAUAAGGCAAUUAAAGCAGGAAGCAAUUAUCAUCAAUUAUCAUGUAAGACUAGCUACUGUCUUGUAAUUACUGUGUUAAUUGGCAUUAAGUUUAGGUAGAAAUUAUUGUUGCCCACUUCCAACUAAAAAGUAAAGAAUGUCAUGUCAGGAGUGAAGAAAGCACAUCUAAAAUAUAGUUUUCCCUUUAAAGAAAUUUUAUCUAGAGAGCACGUUUCUUAAUGUUUGUAUAUUUCUCAUUGCUUAAGUCAUUCAUUCAAAAGUUGAUGAUGAUGAUGAUGAUGAUGAUGAUGAUGAUGAUGAUGAUGUGAUAGACAGCUUCUAAGAUGGCUUCCAAUAAUCCAUGCUUCCUAGCUUUCAUGCCCUUGUAUAGAAGUGACUCAUAUAGCCAAUAGGAUAUAAACAAAAGGAUGGCAUGUGACUUCCAAAGUUAGGGCAUGAAAGUUAUUUUAGGGACCAUCAUGCUCUCCUGGAUUGCUCAGUCUAUAAAAAGCUGUCAAGAGAACCAAUAUGUCAAAAGACCCUCAACUCUGUGGAGAGAUCAACAUGGCAUUGAACUGAGGCCACACACCAACCAGCCCAUACCAACUUUCUGCCAUGCCAGUGAACCACUGUAGAAAUGGAUCCUGCAGCCCUAGUCAAGUCUUUCAAAGACUGUAACCCCAGCUCACGAUGUAGCUCAAUCUCUUGAAAGACUCUAAGCCAUAUCUACCUAGCUAAGUACUUUCCAAAUGACUGUCUCAUAGAAAUUGUAAGUAAUAAUGAACAUUUGUUGUUUUAAGCCACUAAAUUCUGAGGUAGAUUAUUAUCCAACAGUAGAUAAUUGAUACAGAUGGUGAUUAUUAUUGUUAAUGACUAUGGUGGUGAUUCCACCUCUCAUCCCCUAGGAAGAGAAAAUGUACAAUCAGACAUGGGAUUUGCCCUUUAAGAAAAUGACAGCCUUAAUAAAAGAUAAACCACAAGGUAACUCACUUAGCACUAAAAUAAGAUUACUUAUUUAGAUUCUGGUUUUAUAGUUGCAUUGUGGUUUUUGAUUUGUUUUGUUUUGUUUUUUGAGACAGGUUCUCACUCUCUUUCCCAGACUGAAGGGCAGUGGUACAACUGCGGCUCACUGUAGCCUCAAUCUUCCAGGCCCAAGCCAUCCUCCUGACUCAGCCUCCUGAGUAGCUAGGCCAAAGGUGCAUGCCACCAUGCCUGGCUAAUUUUUUU
rnacentral:lncRNA from 10 species